AUUGAACGCUGGCGGCAGGCCUAACACAUGCAAGUCGAGCGAGCGGCGGACGGGUGAGUAAUGUCUGGGAAACUUCCUGCGGGAUGGGGAUAACUACUGGAAACGGUAGCUACUUCCGCAUACCAUCAGAUGUGCCCAGAUGGGUUUAGCUAGUUGGUGGGGUAACGGCUCACCUAGGCGACGAUCCCUAGCUGGUCUGAGAGGAUGACCAGCCACACUGGAACUGAGACACGGUCCAGACUCCUACGGGAGGGAGCAGUGGGGAAUAUUGGACAAUGGGCGAAAGCCUGAUGCAGCCAUGCCGCGUGUAUGAAGAAGGCCUUCGGGUUGUAAAGUAAUUUAAGCGGGGAGGCGUUACCCGCAGAAGAAGCACCGGCUAACUCCGUGCCAGCAGCCGCGGUAAUAC
rnacentral:rRNA from 1 species